rnacentral:misc_RNA from 1 species
GAUGGAGAACGCAGCAAAAUGCGAUAAGUAAUGUGAAUUGCAGAAUUCAGUGAAUCAUCGAAUCUUUGAACGCACAUUGCGCCCGCCAGUAUUCUGGCGGGCAUGCCUGUUCGAGCGUCAUUUCAACCCUCAAGCACAGCUUGGUGUUGGGACUCGCGUUAAUUCGCGUUCCCCAAAUUGAUUGGCGGUCACGUCGAGCUUCCAUAGCGUAGUAGUAAAACCCUCGUUACUGGUAAUCGUCGCGGCCACGCCGUUAAACCCCAACUUCUGAAUGUUGACCUCGGAUCAGGUAGGAAUACCCGCUGAACUUAAGCAUAUCAAUAAGCGGAGGA